rnacentral:rRNA from 1 species
CCUACGGGAGGCAGCAGUGGGGAAUAUUGGACAAUGGGGGCAACCCUGAUCCAGCCAUGCCGCGUGUGUGAAGAAGGCCCUCGGGUUGUAAAGCACUUUCAGUGAGGAAGAACGCCUGGUGGUUAAUACCCAUCAGGAAAGACAUCACUCACAGAAGAAGCACCGGCUAACUCCGUGCCAGCAGCCGCGGUAAUACGGAGGGUGCGAGCGUUAAUCGGAAUUACUGGGCGUAAAGCGCGCGUAGGUGGCUUGAUAAGCCGGUUGUGAAAGCCCCGGGCUCAACCUGGGAACGGCAUCCGGAACUGUCAAGCUAGAGUGCAGGAGAGGAAGGUAGAAUUCCCGGUGUAGCGGUGAAAUGCGUAGAGAUCGGGAGGAAUACCGGUGGCGAAGGCGGCCUUCUGGACUGACACUGACACUGAGGUGCGAAAGCGUGGGUAGCAAACAGGAUUAGAUACCCUGGUAGUC